UACGAAGGGAGCUAGCGUUGUUCGGAAUCACUGGGCGUAAAGCGCACGUAGGCGGAUGUGUCAGUCAGGGGUGAAAUCCCGGAGCUCAACUUCGGAACUGCCCUUGAUACAGCACGUCUUGAGUCCGGAAGAGGUGGGUGGAAUUCCUAGUGUAGAGGUGAAAUUCGUAGAUAUUAGGAAGAACACCGGUGGCGAAGGCGGCCCACUGGUCCAAUAUUGACACUCAUACACGAAAGCGUGGGGAUCAAACAGG
rnacentral:rRNA from 1 species